AUUGAACGCUGGCGGCAUGCUUUACACAUGCAAGUCGAACGGUAACAGGCCUUCGGGUGCUGACGAGUGGCGAACGGGUGAGUAAUGCAUCGGAACGUACCCAGAGGUGGGGGAUAACGCAGCGAAAGCUGUGCUAAUACCGCAUGUGAUCUGAGGAUGAAAGCGGGGGACCGAGCAGCAAUGUUUGGCCUCGCGCCUUUGGAGCGGCCGAUGUCGGAUUAGCUAGUUGGUGGGGUAAAGGCCUACCAAGGCGACGAUCCGUAGCUGGUCUGAGAGGACGACCAGCCACACUGGGACUGAGACACGGCCCAGACUCCUACGGGAGGAAGCAGUGGGGAAUUUUGGACAAUGGGCGCAAGCCUGAUCCAGCAAUGCCGCGUGCGGGAAGAAGGCCUUCGGGUUGUAAACCGCUUUUGGCAGGAACGAAACGGUGUCCGCUAAUACCGGGCGCUAAUGACGGUACCUGCAGAAUAAGCACCGGCUAACUACGUG
rnacentral:rRNA from 1 species